AUUGAACGCUGGCGGCAGGCCUAAUACAUGCAAGUCGAGCGAGCGGCGGACGGGUGAGUAAUGUAUGGGGACUGCCUGAUAGAGGGGGAUAACUACUGGAAAAGGUGGCUAAUACCGCAUACUAUCGGAUAACCGACAGGGGAUUAGCUAGUAGGUGGGGUAAAGGCGCACCUAGGCGACGAUCUCUAGCGAGUCUGCGAGGAUGAUCAGCCACACUGGGACUGAGACACGGCCCAGACUCCUACGGAGGCAGCAGUAGGGAAUAUUGCAAAAUGGGCGCAAGCCUGAUUGAGCCAGGCCGCGUGUGUGAAGAAGGCCUUAGGGUUGUAAAGUUCUUUCAGCAGGGAGGCGUUACCCGCCGAGGAAGCACCGGCUAACUCCGUGCCAGCAGCCGCGGUAAUUC
rnacentral:rRNA from 1 species